GUAGGUGGCAAGCGUUGUCCGGAAUUAUUGGGCGUAAAGCGCGCGCAGGCGGUCCUUUAAGUCUGAUGUGAAAGCCCACGGCUCAACCGUGGAGGGUCAUUGGAAACUGGGGGACUUGAGUACAGAAGAGGAAAGCGGAAUUCCAAGUGUAGCGGUGAAAUGCGUAGAGAUUUGGAGGAACACCAGUGGCGAAGGCGGCUUUCUGGUCUGUAACUGACGCUGAGGCGCGAAAGCGUGGGGAGCAAACAGGAUUAGAUACCCUGGUAGUCCACGCCGUAAACGAUGAGUGCUAAGUGUUAGGGGGUUUACCGCCCCCUUAGUGCUGCAGCUAACGCAUUAAGCACUCCGCCUGGGGAGUACGGCCGCAAGGCUG
rnacentral:rRNA from 1 species